rnacentral:rRNA from 1 species
ACGAACGCUGGCGGUAUGCUUAACACAUGCAAGUCGAACGGACUUAUUGGGGCUUGCUCCAAUAAGUUAGUGGCAAACGGGUGAGUAACGCGUGGGAAUCUGCCCAUCAGUACGGAACAACAUUUGGAAACAGAUGCUAAUACCGUAUAUCCUCUGAGGAGGAAAGAUUUAUCGCUGAUGGAUGAGCCCGCGUUAGAUUAGGUAGUUGGUAGGGUAAUGGCCUACCAAGCCUACGAUCUAUAGCUGGUCUGAGAGGAUGAUCAGCGACACUGGGACUGAGACACGGCCCAGACUCCUACGGGAGGCAGCAGUGGGGAAUAUUGGACAAUGGGCGAAAGCCUGAACCAGCA